CGAACGGGUGAGUAACACGUGAGAAACGUGCCCUUGACUCUGGGAUAACUGCGGGAAACUGUAGCUAAUACCGGAUAUGACCUCUGAAGGCAUCUUCUGGAGGUGGAAAGAAUUUCGGUCAAGGAUCGUCUCGCGGCCUAUCAGCUAGUUGGUGAGGUAAAGGCUCACCAAGGCGACGACGGGUAGCCGGCCUGAGAGGGUGACCGGCCACACUGGGACUGAGACACGGCCCAGACUCC
rnacentral:rRNA from 1 species